rnacentral:rRNA from 1 species
AUUGAACGCUGGCGGCAGGCCUAACACAUGCAAGUCGAACGGAAGAAGCGUGCUUGCUUGUGGUUUCAGCGGGGGAAGGGUGAGUAAUGCCUAGGAAUAUCCUGGCCUGUGGUUUGGAACGUCCUGAAACAGGCGCUAAUACUGCAGAAGAGCAGAGGGAGAAGGUGGGGGAGCGUCGGACCUUACGCUAUCAUGUGAGUGUAGGUGGGGUUGGCUAGUUGGUGGGGUAAAGGGUUACCAAGGAAGCGAUUCGUAGCUGGUCUGAGUGGAUGAUCGGCCACCUUGGAACGUGAACACGGUCCAGACUACUACGGGAGGCAGCAGUGGGGAAUAUUGGACAAUGGGCGAAAGCCUGAUCCAGCCAUGCCGCGUGUGUGAAGAAGGUCUUCGGAUUGUAAAGCACUUUUAGUGGGGAUGAAGCGCAGUAAGUUAAUACCUUGCUGUUUUGACGUUACCAACAGAAUAAGCACCGGCUAACUUCGUG